UUUGGUGACGAUAGCAAAGAGGUCACACCCGUUCCCAUGCCGAACACGGAAGUUAAGCUCUUUAGCGCCGAUGGUAGUUGGGGGGUCUCCCCCUGUGAGAGUAGGACGUUGCCAAGC
rnacentral:rRNA from 1 species